rnacentral:lncRNA from 1 species
CGAAAUAUGCCCCUGUAUGGCGUCGAAAUGUAUGAUAAGUCGGAGAUCAGAUAGCAUGGAAUCAUCUAUCCUCGAACAUGUGACCUCUGCGAAGAUCCGUAAAUCUCACCCAAAACGGAAAUAUGCCCCAGUAUGGCAUCAGGUGCGUGACAGGUCCGAAGAACAAAUGUCAUGAAAUCAUCCAUCAUCGCACAAGCAACCUCCAUGAAAGUCCGUAAAUCUCAUCCGAAACGGAAAUAUGCCCCAGUAUGGCAUCAGGUGCGUGACAGGUCCGAAGAACAAAUGUCAUGAAAUCAUCCAUCAUCGCACAUGCGACCUCCAUGAAAGUCCGUAAAUCUCAUCCGAAACG